AGAGAGAGACAUGCGCGCAUAUCAAUAAGCGGAGGAAAAGAAACUAACUAGGAUUCCCUCAGUAACGGCGAGUGAAGCGGGAAGAGCUCAAAUUUGAAAUCUUCAAGGUUCUACCUUGACGAAUUGUAGUUUAAAGAAGUGUUUUCUGUUGGAGUUUUGGUAAAAGUUCUUUGGAAUAGGACAUCGAUAGAGGGUGAGAAUCCCGUAUUUGACCAUUAUUUCCAGCUUUGUGAUACACUUUCAAAGAGUCGGAUUGUUUGGGAAUGCAGUCCAAAAUGGGUGGUAAAUUUCAUCUAAAGCUAAAUAUUGGCGAGAGACCGAUAGCGAACAAGUACCGUGAGGGAAAGAUGAAAAGAACUUUGAAAAGAGAGUUAAACAGUACGUGAAAUUGUCAAAAGGGAAGCGUUUGACACCAGUGUUGUUUUUCUCGAAAAUCAAUUAAAAGGAACGGAUUUAUGCUAGCUGUAUUAGACUUUAUCAGCUAUCUGCUUUAGUUUUGAUCUUUUCUUUAAUGCACUUUUCAGUUAACAAGUCAACAUCAAUUUCUUUUGCUGUAAAAAAGCUUGAGGAAGGUGGCUUGAGAUUCGUCCUAAGUGUUUAUAGCCUCUUGCCUAUGCAGUCGGAGAGAUUGAGGUCUGCAGCGUAGAUCCUUCGGGGCUAAAUGCAUUUGUGCUAAGUUAUAACAUUUUAUAGACAACUUGUUGACUAUGAUUUGUCUUGUAGCUUACUCGCUUAUGUUAUUUUACCUACGCUUAGGAUGUUGAUGUGAUACUGCGAGCA
rnacentral:rRNA from 1 species